GAUUAAGCCAUGCAUGUGUAAGUAUAAAUAUUUAACUUUGAAACUGCGAAUGGCUCAUUAUAUCAGUUAUAGUUUAUUUGAUGAAAAGUACUACUUGGAUAACCGUAGUAAUUCUAGAGCUAAUACAUGAUAAAAUCCUCGACUUUGAAGAGGUGUAUUUAUUAGAAUGAAACCAAUAGACUUCGGUCUGUUUGUGAGUAAUAAUAACUAAUCGUAUCGCAUGCUUAGGUAGCGA
rnacentral:rRNA from 1 species